GUGUGUCACUGAAAGACGAUUGGCUGAUCCAUGUGUCACAGAACUUCCUGUCGUGUCUCCUUGUAUCAGUCAAAGCGUGUGCUAGAAAGUAUCAUUUGAUCUUGUAUAUUAUUAUUAUUAUCAUUAUUAUUUUAUUUCUAUUUCGUUUGUUCUCUUCAACAUGUACAAAGUCCAACUUAACAUACUUCAUUCUUUAGUUGUACUCGCAAGCCACUGUAAAGCAAGAGAAUAAACUACUGUAUGGUUUAGAUCUGUACCUAA